UUACGCUGUUAUCCCUAAGGUAAUUUAGUCUUAUAAUCAAUAUAAAUGGAUCAAAUACAUAUAAAUAAAUAUAAAAUAAAUAAAAAGAGUUAAUUAAAUCUUUCCAUCACCCCAACAAAAUAAAUUUUUACAUUAGAAAUUUUCAUACAAAAAAAAUAAAAAUAUAUAAAACUCUAUAGGGUCUUCUCGUCCCAAAAAAACAUUUAGGCAUUUUAACCUAAAAUUUAAGUUCAAAAAAAAAAUAAAGACAGUUAACACCUCGUCAAACCAUUCAUUCCAGCCUACAAUUAAAAGACUAAUGAUUAUGCUACCUUUGCACGGUCAAAAUACCGCGGCCCUUCAAUAUUCAGUGGGCAGGCCAUACAUCAAAAUAUAUUCAAGAAGAGAUGUUUUUGAUAAACAGGCG
rnacentral:rRNA from 2 species